GGAUACAUCUCUUCAUUUCUGCUUUGACUAUCACAUGCACUCAUUUGGGUGCUCAUCACUCUUGAAAAGAGCAUUCCACUGUCUCUGCCACUUCUCUUUGUCUUUCCCAGCGCUGCAUGAAAUGAGGCAAUUCAAUACCUCAGCAUUGAGCUCUUGCUGCUGUCACCAUUGCUUUUAUCCCCGGGCUUCAAACUCCCUUACCUCACAUAUUGCUGCUAAAAUUUUUCUUGAAAUCAGAGAAUGGUGUGGAGGGCAAGAGAAAAGAGGCACCUUUGUAUGGCAAGUGACAAGCUCAUUGUGUACCUAUAAAGUUUCAUAAGCUCUUAUAUUUUUGACCUUGAAAUUGAGUUGUACUUAAUUGCUCUUGUAUCCAAGAGCUUGGAGAUAGUGCAAGAAGCAAUUGGUAAAGAUUGGUCCCCAUUACCUGGGAGUUCACUGGGCCCUUUUCUAGUCUGAAGAAUAAAGCUCUGGGCUGAAAGAUAAGGAAUGUUGGCGUUUUUCUGGACUAUUAAACUAUCUUUAUGCUUUCUUGCUAUCCAUUUGAAAGUAACGAUAGGCAUCUCUAACCACUUGGACUUGGACUGAGACCAUCAAUCCAUAUUGCAGACAACAGAGAGCGAGAAGUAACUAGUAAAGCCUUCUGCUUACAGUGAUCCUGGAAUGGAUUUGACCUGUGCAUUACCUUACAAACCCCAUAGUAUCAUGGUUCUCUCCUAUAGUUAUUCUAAUGAGCUGAAAAAACUGUUUUGGACAUACUUUAAAGUGUUGUUGAGACAUAAAUACACUUUAAGUGAGGACUACAUAAUGUUUUCCUGUUUGUGCAUAAAAAAUAAUGGAGCAGUAAGCCAGUGACCCAGAGGUGAAAGUCUUUGCAUUCUAUAUUGUCAAUUUAUUACACAUGCAAAAUUUAAGUAUAUAACUUAAUUCCAGUGCAGUUAUGUUGUCUUGGUGUGUUUCUUCUAGUCUAUUUUUCAGUAAUUUAAAUUCUAAGCACUCUUUCAGCUCAGCAGUCUGCCAUAGAGCAGCUAACCAUGUUCCUUGCUAUUGCUGGGAGCUUCUUACUCUAUAAUCACCGAUGAAUGGUUAUUCCCACCCCUGUGUCCUAGCGGAGAUACUGCAUCUACUCUAUUUAUCUACUCUAGUGGAUAGACAUUCCAGAGAUGCUUCUGCAGCCCUGUAUUACAUAUAACUAGGCUAAAGCCAAGUUGCCACUAUGCAGUACUCAAGUGCAGAGCUUCUCCUAAAGGCAUCAGUUUUAUGGGCCAGGUGCAAAAAUCUGUGGAAAUCAGUCAACAGCAUAGUUUUGUUUCAAUCAGAGGAGAGCAGAAAUUAAGCUUCAGUAUUUCAUUUUCUGGGCAUAAAUAGCUGUGUGCAGCUGUAAAGCACACAUGCAUUAAGCCUAAUAGCUACAGAACAGAUUGGACUUGCAGUGCUGGACACCUUCCCAAGUGAGUCCCUUGUGUGCCUGGAAUGUGCUGCAAGAAAUGGGUGAGCUGCGUUGGCAGCCUGAGACUGUAGAACAUGUGUAAAUCCAGCAUUUCCAGGGGAAAAUGCUUGUUUUCCUUGCCUGCACAGAGCAGACCUGUUCAAGCAGCAUGGAAAUGCCUGAAAUUUCCAGGCUUGCAGCAGGUGACUGGAUCCCAUAGUAUCACAGAAAGGCUUGGAUUGGAAGGGACCUUAAAGAGCAUUUAGUUCCAACCCCCUGCCCUGGGCAGGGUUGCCAACCACUAAAUAGGGCACCAGAUCAGGCUGCCCAAGGCCCCAUCCAACCUGGCCUUGAACACCUCCAGGGAUGGGGCAUAUCUGACUAGAGCCAAAAUACAUCAGAAAUCUAGGAGAAAUAUAAAAAUCCUUCUUGUUUUUAUUUUUAUUUUUAUUUUUUCAAUUUAUUUUGUUCCCCAGAAUGAAAGCCAAAUGACUCCAGACAGACAGUAGUGUUAGCAGAGACAGUACCUAGGAGGCUCUGUCCAUUACUUUGCUCUCAAUCAGUAGUUCAUUUUUGCUGUGAUGGGAAUAGUGGGCCCCAUGCAGCUUUCUCUAAGCACUCCGCUGCUCCCAGCUUUUCUUUUCUGUUCCCUGAUUAAUUUGUCAUGAUGCAGACUAGGAGACAAGGGCUUAGUAGUACAGCAAGUAAAAUUGUUCUGCAGGCUAUAGAUUGAGGCAACUUUGCAUUCAGAGUUUAGGCGAGAGUAUCACAGAUGGGCUUGGGGGUGGGUUUGGUGGUCUAGCUAAGAAAUGAGUCAUCUUGAUUUGGAGGCAAGAUAUCAGAUUUAACAUGCCAGUGGUCUGUUUCUGCAUGACAAGUAGCCUCUCCUCUCGAAUUAAAACAGUAAAACUGAGUUAAUAACUGACCAAAACAGAACCACCUCAGAAGAAAGUAAGAACAUUACCAACAAGUUGUGGUCUGGUAAAUAGUUCAGACAUUUCCAUGUCUCCAGUACAAAUAUUGUUUUAUCCAUGCAAAUUCCAUUACAUCUCCAACCCUUUGGAGCCCGUUCCUCUUUGUAAGAUGAAAAGAUAAAACAUGAGGAAAGAAAACAUAUAUCUCAUGAAUUAACUGGUUACUACUAUGGGUUGAUGGCUGGACUAGAUGUUCUUACUGGUCUUUCCAAACUUAGUGACUCUAUGAUUCUGUUCUCUUUUGUGUGGGUUUGCAAGUGGUAGACUCCAUAAUCCUAGACCCUAUUGCAUCCUAGAGGCUGCUUUAGAGUAAGUAUGCUCAUUUCAGUGAAAACAGUGGCUAAUUUCGGUUUUGUGUUGUCCAGACACUGUUACUGUAAACAGCAUUACUUCAGUUGUUGUUAAUAAAACACUCUAAUGUAAUCAUUAUUUACCUGUCCCGUGUCCUCCCAGCUGCAGCUCAUGUCUAUGCAAUUAGAAUUAACGCAAACCACUUAAAACUUGAAUGCCUAGUUUAUUUUCAAAUGGGAAGGUCAGCAUCAUUAUCCUUGGUGUAUUCAAUUACCAAAUCCUACAUAAUCACAGAGCAUGCUUCCUGUCUGCUAAUCAUGACUUGCUCUGCAUACAUUAUGUGCAAAUAUAACCAAAACAAGAGGUGGCAUUUCCAUAUGUUUUGUUCCUGUAAUUACUUCUCACAGGUUGCAUUUAACUUUCUUAGUAUAAUGUAAAUUCCUUUUAUUGACUCUGUAUUUAAAAAAAAAAAACCACGAAAGAAUAAUAAAACCCAGUGGCAAGUAAAAAUAGGAAAGCAUCUGUAUGCAAUUAAUCCUUCUGCUCCAUUUAGACCCCACAGAAUCUCAGAAUGUAAGUCACAAGAGUAGAACAAAGUUGUUAGAGUUGUUGCAUUUGGAAACACCUCUCACAAAGAGCAGGGUGUGUAAUUAAUAGCCUUGGAAUUAUUUUGUUGGCUUUGGUUUAGUUCUGCUUAAGGAAGAGAAUUCUAAUAAACCUGUAUUCAAUGUUUUUCUUCACCGCUGGAUUUUUCGCAGCUUUUGUAAACAAAAAUCCUAAUGACAAGAAAGGAGAGUAUUAACACACAAUAAAAAAUGUAAUCACCUAAUUAAAUGUAAACAUCCUCUGAAGGAAGAAAUUGCAUUUUGGUCUAGAAAGUAAAUCUACAACCAGUAUGAAACCAACAGGUGUCUUUCCCAGAGCUCAGUCAAUUUUCAGUAUAAGCUGUUCUAUAUGUGCCUGCUCUGUGUUACACUUAUGCUCCAAAGUAUUAGAAGCAAAACGUUUUUUAUGUUCUUGGAAAUAACUAUUCUCUCAUCUCCCUUCCUCAUGCAUUUGUGUGUGUAUAGCACAAACAUACUUUUUUGAGCUCAAGACUCUGAAGUAGAGCUGUUUGCUUCACCUUCUGCCUUAGGUUUUUCUAUCCUUACCAUUAGGACAUGUGGAACAUCCUUCCUUUUGGAACACUAUAGUAAUACUCCAUCUGGAUUCCAAAUAUCAUAGAUGAACAUUAGGGCAAGGUAAAUCUCUCGUUUCUAUUUUGUUUAUGCCUAGUAUUUCCAGAUGAAAAUGUUUUUGAUAGCUGAUGUUGCAAAGUUGAUAUAGCACCUGUUUUUAUUCUUUUCUCUAACUCUCUGAAAGGAGGUUGUGGCAAGGUGGGAGUCAGCCUGUGCUCCCAGAUAAUAAAUGAGAGGUAAUGGCCUUAAGUUACACUAGGGGAGGUUCAGGUUGAAUGUUAGGAAACAUUUCUUCUCUGAAGGAGUGGUAAUGCAUUGGCACAGGCUGCCCCAGGUUGGUGGUGGAGUCACUGUCCCUGGAGGUGUUCAAGAGCUGUGGAGAUGUGGCACUGAGGGACAUGGUUAGUGGCAUGGUGGGGAUGGAUUGAGGUUAAGCUAGGUGAUCUUGGAGUUCUUCUCCAGCCUUGAUGAUUCUAUCAUUCGUUGAUCAUUCAACCCCCAAAACAGUAAGGAAAUCAGUUCCCAUGUUUGACCAGCCUUAGGAGAUGUUGCAUGACUGUGGUUCUUACUUCUCAAAAGGUUGCUUUUCACUGAAGCCUGCGCUGAAGCUACUCUAAAGAUCAGGCUUUCUGUCUGUUAAAGCUUCAGACCUUUUACUGGCUUCCUACCGAAACAGACCCUACAAGCCACACAUAGAAGAGUUGCUGGUCCCUGAGCUUCCUGCAAGACCGUGGAUUUUCUCAAAGGAGCCACACACAGGGAAGGUGGGUGGACUGGGAAAUAGGCUGUGUGCUCAAGGUUGCUCUUCUGAUUACCCACUGUAGAGAAUGAGUGCUAUUGCAAGAGGUGAAAUGCACGACCAGAGACUGGGUGUCUGGAAACACUGUUAUUGACUUGUAUGUGUGAUAACUGUGGGUUAUACACAGAAGACAAAACAACUGUUACUGUAACAACUGGCAAAAUUAUUCUGAGAAAUAAUCUUUUUAUAAUUCCUACUAACAGAUUUAAGUCUUUUUAACAUUUGAAAUGUUUCAUAGGCUUGUGUUCUUAUGCCAGAAAGUUCAACCUCACAAAAAGGAGAAAGGAAAGAUAUUAACAUAUAUAUGCACAAAGUAAGACAAAGAUAUUUAUUUAUGCAUUUGACAUUUUUAAACAUUCAAAUUCCCUUUAGAUUUUACUAAAUGUUCUCUUUGUGUUUAUUCAAACAAUUUUAUUUGCCAUUUUCUGAGAGAGGCUUUGAGCCCAGGAUAAUGAAAAUGGUUGAGUCUUUCAUGUGAGUCUCCUUUGGCCAAAGAAUUUCACUGGAUCAGAAUUGAAUAUUCUUUAAAUGUAAAAAUAAGAGGUGAAAGGUACUAAGUCACAAUUAUCAGGAUAAAAUGAACAUCAAGGAUGUUCAUCAAAGACUUUUUACAAGGCUUCACUCCUCCAUGCCGUCAAUAUUAGAGACAUUUUCAGAGAUGAACAUGGGGAAAACAUAAAAAUUAAUGUGGAAUGCAAUGGGCCUGAUUUGGACUUUACUUUCUCUCAGACUUUGGUAAAAAUAAUUGUACAGGUUUUGGUGGUACAACAUAUUGUUAAAUUAGAGUAGUUUUGAUGAGGAUCAGUCUCACCAUCUAUGCGAUUCUGUGGAGAGUGGGAUUAUGUUUAUCAACAAGCAAAGGAUUGUGUUCAUUUUCCUUUUAAACGUGAGUCACCUGAAACUCCCACCAGGUAGUGUUACUACAAGGUGCAAAGAUUUGCUUUGAGACUGUUUCCAAUACAUCAAUAACUAUUCAAGCCUGAAAUUAAGAGACCCCCUACAGCUUCACAGGCUAAAUAAUUCCCUGCCUCAAAGAGUUUCAGCGAAGAGCUUUGGAAAUACUGGGAGAGAUUAAUUCUAGGGUGGGAUUUGCCUCCUUCAGCUUCAGACAUUUCAAUGUGGUUUUCUGCCUGUGAGUUCCUGCUGCAGUCAUUAGAGGGGCAAAAUAGACACUUUUCUGGUGUGAUUUAUCUGACUAGUUUUAGAUGUCUACCUUAGGAUGGGAUGAAUCCUGCCCCAGAAGCACCUUCCUUUGUUCUAAAGUGAGUAUCAAAAGACUCACUCAGAUGUGGAGAUGUACUUUGUAGAUGUCUAAAGAUAGGAGAGAUGAAUCUUGUCAAAACCCACAAAGCUUGUAGUCUUAUGAACAUUGAUAGAAUUUAGAUGGGUAAAGUCCUUUAGAACCUAUGCAUUAAAAUGUUCAGAAACCCCUCCGAGAAGGGUGAUCUGAGUUCCUAUAGUAAAUGGAAGCAAAAUAGAGUUUCACUGCUGGAUGACACUCAUCCAAGCUGUGAUUUUACAAACUACUGUGACAUCUUGACAGGUAGCAAGGUCUUUGUCAUGCUUUCCCACAUCUUCUGAACUUGCCAGGAGGGCUCUUCACAGGGUGUCUGGCCCCAUUUUUGUGACCUUUGUCUGAAGGCAGCACCCACUUUGUUCAAGAUCAUUUAUGUAGUCAGUGUCCCAUUUCAGCUCCCUGCCCUGCUCUUCCUCAUCUUACAGUGCCAGCUACUGCUUCUGGCUGUUUUCCAUUGACUAAUGAUGGGGCUGUCUAAUUCAGUGCUGACUGUGAGGGUUCCAUAUUAAUAUCCGUGACAAACAGAUGUUGAUACAGUGCCUUUAGAAGGUGAAAAACUCCCUGCAGUUACUUCAUGGUGAGACUCUUUCCUCUGGUGUUGUCCUGCUCCCUCUGGCCCUUGAUAUGGUGUUGGGUAUCCAUCUGGCUCCACUCAUCUCUCUUCCUCAAUGGGGUCAAGCUAUUUCUUCUCAGCAGGGGCUUGCUCUUGAUCCUACAGUUCUGUGAAAGGAAGGCAGGAUGGGACAUGUUCACAGCAUAAUAUGUUUUUCUACUGGCAGGCAAGUGUUAUACGAGAAUGCGGGAAGGUCACAUCACACAACUUUCCUUGCUGGGGUGAAAAAAGAGCAGUCCAUCUAUCCUUAAAGAGCAACUUUUGAAUUAAUUGCAAUUCAUACUGUGGAUCUGAAUAGAACUUUAUUCUUUAUAAAUCCAAGAGUUGGGACUCCUCUACAGAUUCUGGAUAUCAUUGCCUGGUGAAGGUCAGAGGCCAGUUACUCAGUCACUCCGUUUCAAUUCCAGAGUUUGCUGAUUGUGAACAGAUUAAUGAUGCAUUUCCCUUCACUACAAAAUUAUCUUGGGGUAUUAACCCUCAUUUCUGGUAUCUUCAAAAGCAGCCUUACAUCUGUGCCUCAUCUCUCUUAGCAAAGGGUUUGCAAAUGAUUUUCUUUAUAUAGAAGUGGUUAUUGAUUAUUUGCAUUAAAAAAAAAUAAAUACUGUGGAACAGCUAAUUUCUUACCUUCUGCCCGCUUUACACCUCAACAAUUUCAUGUAUUUAAAUAUGAUAAAAUCAUAGAAUCACAGAAUGGCUGGAGUUGGAAGGGACAUCAAAUGUCAUCAGCCUUCCUGCCAUGGCUGCCCAGAGCCCCAUCUAAUCUAGCUUUGAACACCUCCAGGUAUGGGACAUCCACAACUUCUCUGGACAGACCAUUCCAGCACCUCACCAUCUCUCAGUGAAAAAUUUCCCUCGAUAUCUAAUCUAAAUCACCCCCUUUCUAGUUUAAAACCAUUCCCCCCUUAUGUACUACAGAGCUAUGUUGAUUGCCCCUUUCCCUAUCCUGGAGAGGCAUUUUCUGCAUUUACGUUUUAGCCUGUAGAAUUUACUUGUUUCUCUGACUUUAAGUUCUGGGGUACUUAGGAUGUGUUUGAAGGUACACAGAGCACAGAGGAAUCCUUCUGCCAAAACACACCUGCAGCACAACAUCUGCUCCAUACAUUCAUAACCUCUUUGAUCCUAGGUAGGAACUGAUGGCCUUAGUGCUGGUCCUAUACGUGAGCAGAAGUAUUCAAGAGAUUGACUUUGAAGUCUGCCAAGAGACUCUUCACUAGAACAGUUCCCACAAACACUGUGCUUGGACAUUCACUUCUGCUUCACUGGGGAAGAAAGAUGCUACUGGCUAGAUAAACCUGCUGGCAAAAUGCAGCAGGUUUCCUUUGAAGACUUUGCUUUGCCAUUUAUUGGGCUACUCUGAGUGGGUUUUUUUUGUCUCUUCUUUAUGGCAAUAGAUUCCAGAUUUUGAGCUGUUUUCUUGAAAAACAUUCCCGGGGUGGGUGGAUGAGCCGAGCAGAAACAUGGGUUAGUUUUGCUUCAUUUCAUUUUCAGCUUGUAUACAACAUUCCUAUUUUUGUAAUUGAGCCAUCUUUACUGUUUUUUUUUUCCUGCUCUCACGACACUACAGGGAAGCUGUUGAAUUCCCUUAACAUUAAUUUACUCUUGCAAAGAAAAAAAAGCAAAAAGAUUUCCUGCUUUUUUAUUUUUUUAUUUUUCUUUAUGCAAACUGUGCUGUCUUUCUGGUCUGCACCAAUUGGAAGGCAUUUGCAAAUGCUCCUGUCUCAGUUGCUGAAAACUGCCUCCCCAUAUGUUUUCCUGAUUAAGAAAUUCGGCCCGCCAAAUGGCAGAGUUUGCUCAGCUGGAGUUGACUGUUUGGUUGGGAUUAAUAAACAGCAUUCCUCUUCCCAUACAUCUUCCUGUUUAGCAUAAAAGAAAACAAAUUACUUUGGGGCUUUCCUGCUUAUUUGUUCUUACACAAAAAAAGUAUAUUCUGGGAGCUUUUGCAGUGUGCCUGGCUCCUAGAAAUGCAACACAAAAGCAACUUGCAGGCUGUCUCCAUAGGCCAUCAGUGCUUAACAAGGCUUGUUCCUGGGCAGCACUGAGCCGGCUGGUUAGGCGGUGAAUGCUGAGUGAGAGAGAAAUAACUGACUGAUCUGGGUUACACAAAGUCUUAUGGGGAUUUAUUGGUAGAUUUUCUUUAAAAACGACAAGAGGAGGCAAAUUUAGUGCUUGGAUUGAUAGCUCAGGAAGCUGAAAAUCCUUUGAGGAGAGGACAAGCACUGCCCAGGCCAAGCAAAGCCAUCAUUUCUCUUGCUGUCUUAUAUGUGUGCCUCAUUCUUCCACUUCUCCCAUAUGGUAGCAUCUUCACGGAGACAGAAAAUGGCUGUUCAAGUUUGACAAUUUUGCUGAGUUUGAAAAAAGAGUCACAAAAAUUUCCACAAGACCAACGAAUAGCCAGAGCUUUUAGGCACUGACACUUGCAGUUAGACAUGAAAAGAACUUACAGUUCUUGAGUGUCUUAAAUCCAACCUAAAUUCAACAGGGUUGGAAUGCCAAAAUCUGAUACAGUUACCUAAGAGGAGGUUGUUAGGAGGUGGGGAUCAGCUUCUUUUCCCAGGCAACAGUGAUAGUGCGGGGGGUAAUGGCCUCAAGUUGUAUCAGGGGAUGUUCAGGAUGAAUAUUAGAAAAAAAAUAUUCUCCAAAAGAAUGGUAAUGCAUUGGCACAGCUGCCCAGGGAGAUGGUGGAGUCAUCGUCCCUGGAGGUGUUAAGAACCAUGGAGAUGUGGCACUGAGGGUCAUGAUCAGUGGACAUCUGGGGGUAAAUUGUCAGUUGGACUCGAUGUUAUUCCAGAUCUUUUCCAAUCUUACUGAUUGUAUGGUAGGACUCCUAUGAGGUUAUAAACUUCCCAGAACUCUGUCUUUAGGGGUUGCUGACAUGACUGGAUAUACUAGCUCUGACUGGUACAUGUUGAACAUUUUAAAAAAUAUUUAGAUUAUAUCUUGAUAAAUAUUUUUUACUUUUUUUAUUUGGCUGCUAUUUUAUCCUAAAAUUCCUCCUUUUCAUCUUUAUGUGUUGGUCCUUUUGUUUUCUGAAUAACUUUAGCACAUUAUUACAUGCAUGUGUGUGUGCUUGUACAAAUAUAUAAGUCACAUUUUUCUGUUGGGGCCCACUGUUACUUUUCAGUUUACAGAUGAUUCUUCUUUAUAAUUUAUUAUAUUAUUUUGCUGAUAAAGUUUCUGAGAUCACCAUUGUAUCAAAUGAAAUUUUCUGUGGUUGGCUUCUCCUCAAAGGUGUUUUUUUAACCUACAGUUGGAACAAAUUCCUCUCUCAGAUGUGGAAGAAAAAGGGAAAAUAAAUAGUAUCCUGUCAUCUACAUAAGCUGGAUGUGGUGGUUUCUUGUUCGGUUGAGUUUUGUUGGUUUUUAUUUUUAUUAAUAUGUGUAUAUUUCCUGAGUAGAUUAUUGGGACUUGGCUAACUACUUGGAUAAGCAUGGAGUGUGAGAUGGAAACUGAGCCCUACAUUCCACAGAAUCAUAGAAUCAUUACUGUUGGAAACGAACUCCAAGAUCAUGGAGUCCAACCAUCAAUCCAUCCCCACCAUGCCCAAUGGGCAUGUGUCCCUCAGUGCCACAUCUCCAUGUUCUUGAACACCUCCAGGGAUGGUGACCCCACCACCUUUCUGGGCAGCCUGUGCUGAUGCAUUACCAGACUUUAUGGAAAGAAAUUUUCCCUAAUAUCCAUUGUGAACCUCCCCUAGUGCUACCUAAGGUCAUCACUUCUCGUCUUAUCACUGUUACCUGGGGGAAGAGGCCAACAUCUGUCUCACCACAACCUCCGUUCAGACAAAGGGAGCAGAAAAGAUGAAUAGCCUGUAAGUAGAAUCUGACCUGAAAGAGUUUCUCUGUCUUAUAUCCAAAGAUCUUGGUAUUUGAAAAGAUAUAUUAUUUUCAAUCUGUAUUUUUCAGUGGAAUCUAGCCUGUGGCUGCAUUACCGUGUUUGAUGGGGAUGCAGUAUGGUACAAGAGACAGUGUCCUCUACAUCCUUGUGAAAGCCUCUUUAACUGGCCCAAAUCAUUCCUGAAAACAUUUUGGCAAAGAAUCAGCUUCAAGACGUGCCUAGUGAAUGCAAUAUUACAAAGUGCUCAUUUAACACCAGGGCAUAUAAAGAGAUGUACUGGGCCAGGGCAGAAGUUACCAGCAUGGUACCCGAUCUCUGUCACAUGGAAACUUGGUGCAGAAUGAGAGCACAAUGCAAAUCCUCUGUACCACAUCCCAGCUUCCAGCAAUCUGCUAUUCUGGGACUACUUGAGCCAGAGGUGGUAUCUCUGUGCUUAAUAGCCCUUGAUAGAUUUUUCUGCAGCUGUCUGCUCCUAUUUCUGGCAUGUAUUUAUGUAAAAGAACAGCAACAGAGAGCAGUCGUAGUGUCUCAUUAUAUAUUGGCCAGGAGAAACAGAAAAUAGCCCUCCACCUCCAAAGUUAGAAGGUUUCCAGACUUUUCCAUUUCCAGUUCCCAUUAUAAUUCUAGUGUUUAACCAGCCACUUUAGAGCACUCAUAUUCCUAGCCAAGCAGCCGUACAAAGCUGCCAGGUUUCAUUCUUCUGACUUUAGAAACACUUAUGUUUUGUUGUGCCUCUUUAUUGAAGGUAGUGUUACAUGGGUGUUUCCUAAUAUCAGCUGUGUUCAGGAAUCUCUGUUGUACAAUCAAAGGAUAAUUUCCCCUUAAGAGUUACACCAGCCUUUUGAAAGGCUAUAAUAUUUCCUGUUUCAUCUGUCUGUAGCCUGUGGCGAUCUACAGGGGGAGAAAAAGCAGCAGCUUCAGAGCCAGGUAUAUGCUGAUCUAUGGGCUGUUUGGCAGACAGUAACAGUUUCAUGCUGUUGCCCAUAUGUAGAAGUGAGCAGUGAAGCCCCACUGAUGCACUGACGAAUGACCUGGAACUGUCUUCUGAAGGAUAUUUCAAUACAGGACACAGGUGAACAGUAUGAAUGUUUUCAAUGAAGUGCAAUGCAGUCCUCAAACCAGUGCCUUGGAUAACUAAAUAAAUGUCAGUUCUUCUUGCACUGAGGCAAGUCGUCUCUCUAAUGGCCAGCAGCUCCCUCUGCUCCAAAGGCACCAGCAAUCUUUUUUCUCUCAAAUAGUCUAAUUGAGCAACACAGAUUAAUUAAAUUUAAGUGUGUAAUAACCCAGUGUGUUGCCUUUGGCGCUAAAGCCACUUAAGAAAUUCUUAUCCCCGUCUUGUUUCUUCUGCAGAGACUGCUGCCCCACUUUGUUAUGCUGCUUGUAGUCUGUGCUGUGCAUAUAGUCACUGGAAUAAUUUAGAUAAAAAGAAAAGGAAACAACACUUUUAAAUAAGCAUCAUUUCAAACACUUGUUUAAAUCACAGUCUUGCAGAGGUUGUGUUGGGCCAAAUCAGUGAGCAAAGAGUAAGGGGUGCUGGUAUUACCAAGUGCCUGGGAGUACAAAAUCUUAAGUUAACUCUGCAACUAAACACAAAGCAUUGUAGAAUGACAACUUUGGAGCAGUUAUUCUCAGUUUCGAUUUAGCUUGAAUUUUUCUGGUCCUGCAUCAAGCCUGAGCAUUCAUUUUCUCUGAGUUGACCUGCUGGACUAAUAAAAGACAAAAUCUGUCCCCACAUGUUGCUUCCUGCAAAGCAUAUUUGCACUUUAUUUCAGUGUUGUCUGGUUUUAGCGCCACUAGAAAAACCUGAAGACAACACAUCUGUGAACUAUUCAUGCGUGGAGUUUUCAGUGACAGGACUGGGGACCAUUGGAACAGGCUGAAGAUUAAUUUGUUGAAAUCCAAAGUAAGGAAAGUUCAGAGCAAUAAGGUCCUCAGAUCCUAGUGUUAGGAGUGGCUAAUUUGAGAUAGGCUCAAAUACUUGUUUUAUAGCAAUAAAUGCUGUGUAUUAUCAACCCCAAUUGGAAGCAUAUCAGAUGGAGAACUGAAACCCUGAGGCCCUAUAAGCAACCAAACACUUUUGAAGAUCUUGACUUUCCUUUGGAUCGUUCUUCAUGACAACAGGCUUUUCCUUUCUGUAGUAUUCUAUACCACAGAUGUAUCUUUCCCUCAUUUCUAUUUGCCUUCAGGGAAAACACUUCCUUUUAUCUAAGUUUGCAUGGUAGGCACCAGUAAUGCUGCUGAGAGUCUCUAGACACUACUGGAACGUACAUAAAUAAAAUCGGAACGACUCUGAACUACAGAUUUACAAAACAAAACCAUUUCAGGAAUGAGACAAGCUGUAGAAAGAGGACAGCUAUCUCAUCCAACUGGAAAUUUUUUGAAUCAUUUUUAUAUAGCAUAAAUGAAUGCAUUGCCAAGGUCUUCUUCAGAGUAAGAUAUUAUACUGUUGUUUCUACUUUUGGACUGCUUUUUCUCCCUUAUAGAGUUAAAGAAAUCAAAGUUGAAAGACUGACUUUUAAAACAACAACAACAACAACAAAAAACACAGAACAUUAUUUGCAAUGCAUUCCACCUAAUUUGUGGAUGUACUUAUAUUGACUUGCCAGCCAAUGGUGUCUAUAGCUUAUUAGCUGUGGAGAAGGAGACUCUGUGCUUUCCUCCACUGCUGAUAGUCAUGCUUAGGGGAGACUCUCCGACUCUCCUAUUAAUAUAAGUGUAACUACAUCACAGUCCUACCUGAGAUAUCUUUUGUUGGAUGUUUGAGAAGUCCUAGUUGUCAGCCAACUGUGAUAUGCACACAAUGAGCACUGGGUUCAUCAUUUUCUUAUGCCCACCCUUCUGCCUGCCUAUGUUUGUGUCUUACCUCUUGAUUUAUAAUUUGUUAGUAGCGAGGUUCCUCACUGGAAAGGAUCUUCUGGCUUUGCAGAUGUAGGAAGUGGGAUUCAAGUGCCUAAACUUGGGUAUUGUCUGCCUUUGGAAAUGCCCAGCAAUAUCUAUUAGCUAUUGGUGUCAUCAACAGUAGGAUUGAGGGCAUCCUCAGCAAGUAUGAUGACCAAGCACCAAGCUGUAUGGUACAGUCAACACAAUGAAGGAAGGAUGUCAUCCAUAGGGACCUGGACUGGAGAGGUCAGCCUAUGCAAACCUCAUGAAGUUCAACCAGGCCAAUGUACUUGUGACAGGGCAAUCCCAAGAACAAAUACAGACAGGGCAGAGAAUGGAUUAGAGUAGCCCUGAGGAAAAGGACUUGGGGAUGUUCCUUGAUGAGAAGCUCAACAUGAGCCAGCAGUGUGUGCUUACAGCCCAGAAAGCCAACCAUGUUCUUGGACUGCAUUAAAAGAGGGGUGUCCCACAGGGUGAGGGAGGUGAUUAUCCUCCUCUGCUCAUGUGGGAUCUCAUCUGCAGUUCUGCAUUCAGCUCCAGGGCCCUCAGCACCCGAAAGAUGUGGAGCUGCUGAAAUGGGUCCAGAGAAGGCCACAAAGAUACUCAGAGAUUGAAGCACCUCUGCUAUGGAGACAGACCAAGAGCUGGGGUUAUUCAGCCUUGAGAAGAGAAGGCUGUAGUAGCUUUAUGGUACCUAAAGAGGAUGACAGAAACACUGAAGAGGGGCUCUUAGGGACUGUAGUGAUAGGACAAGGAGUAAUGGUUUUAAACUAAAACUAAGGGUAGGUUUAAUUUACAUAUUAGGAAGAAAUUCUUUAUUAUGAUGGUGGUGAAGCACUGAAACAGAUGCCUCAGAGAUCUUCUGGAUGACCCAUCCCUGGAGGCAUUCCAGACCAGGUUGGAAAGGGCUUUGAACAACCUGGUCUGGUGGGAGGUGUCCUAUCCCAUUGUAGGGGGUUGGAAAUAGAUGGUCUUUAAAGUCCCUUCCAACUCAAGCCAUUCUGUGAUUCUAUGAUUCUGUGAUCUGAACUUUCCAGCUUGGAAGUUAUGACACAGGAUCCAUAGGAGAUCCACCAAACUCUGGAGUGGCAGAUGGAAAUCAAGCCAGACAAUACUCAGGUAACUAAAAUCCACUUGGAUGAUGUUAGCUCCUUGAUCCAAGAGCAUUAACAACAUGAGUAACAACUAAUUAUCAUAACAAGGAAAUAUUGGGAAUACUGGUGUUUAUAAUUAGAAUUUGUUGUAUUUCUGCACAGUUUUUUUUUUUUUUUUUUUUUUUUUUUGUCAGUUCCACUGUAUAAAUCGUAGCAGUUGUUUCUUUUGUCACAAAGAGUGGCACUACCUGAAGUAGUGAUUUUUGUUUAUGGUAGUGAUUACUGUUCAGUAGGCGAUUCCAGACAUUGAGACUUGCCCAGAGGGCAUGAGCUGUCAAAGCAAGUGUCCCUUCCUUCUUUGUUUGAAUACAUAGCUAUGAUUUUUGACCAAAUGGUUUACUCCGUGUGGGGUCUGACAUGAGAUUGGAACACUGAUUCUUUGUAAGGGGACUUGAGUGACCUGAGUGAAAAUCCCAGAGGCAAACAUCUCUGAAUAUUGUGGGGAAUUGCAGGUGGGAUCUGUAUUUUGAACAGGGACAGUCAUCUCCCCAGCAAUUCAUACUCAGACAAAGGACCACCAGUAUCAAAGCCUUCAGGCUCACAAGUGGAUAGUUUAUGGGGUUAAAAAAAAAUCUUUUUUUUUUUUUUUUUUGUUAUUGUUGUUGAUGUUGUUGUAUGUGUGGGCUUUCAAAAAGACACUUGAGAAUAAAUGGGAAAGGUGAAGGCACUGCAGAUGAAUGCAAAGUGGAGCCUACUCUACAAAGCGGCUGCAUAGCAGAAGGUAGUUUUCAGCUCUCCUAGUUCAGCAGCUGCUGGGUGAAUUGAUUCAAUUUUCAGUGGAAAAUGAUGCAAUUGUUUUACCAGUUCCACAAAGAUAAAUGUCUGUAUUUCAUCAGAGCAAACACAUAAAUGAGCAGCAGCUCCAUAAUCUGUCCUUUUUGAUGGCACUGCAACUGAGCAUAUUUGGCUCUGAACUUAUCGGCUUAAGCUAAACUGGUAAGUUUCUCAUUUGGACAGAAACACUUUAACAAGGAGAUUUUAAUAAACCAAUGGAAAGAUUCACAUUCUACUCCCUACUCUCCUUUCAUUCUAAAUCAAAUACAUAUUUUGACUCAAUUUUGCUUUCUGGAGCAUGUUGCAUUUCUUUAGGCUAGAGACGAGCAUCUAUAAUGCUUCCUUGGUGCCAAAUAUGUUUGCAAGAAUUGUCUUUAUGAUGAUCUUUUGUCAUAGCAGAGUUCCAGAUGUUGCCAUUCCUCCAGUUUGCAGCUUGGUAUGCACUCUUCAUGUAAGAUGUGGCUUCAGGAGUUCUUUUCUCUUAACACUCUUGUUAACCACCAGACAGUGAGCCUAGAGCCAUCAGUCCAAAGAGUUCUAGGAAGUGGAGGCUAAAUAUUUAACCAUGUGACAUAAAAGGGGACGGACAUUGCUUUAAUAUUUUUUUGUGCACCAGUGCUCAACAAGGAUUAGGUUUCAAAUGAGAACAUCUUAUCUUUCUUUGAACAACAAGAAAAUGUUCAACCACAUGAGUUCCAAAAUUGUUGUCAUGACCCUAGAGAGGGGCAGGAUCAGUCUUCCCUUAACAAAAGAAAGCCAGGCAGUGCUGUUAGAGGUCUGCAUCCGUAUUACUCCCUCACAUAAGCCUGCUCACUUUCUGCCAUUCUCAGCAUGUCUUCUUUGUAACAUGUAUGCUUACUGAAUGACUACAGAUUUUAUCAAAUGAGGUUUGCAUGAGAAAUGGAGGCUGUAUUUUACUUCUCUCACUGCUGCCACUUUUAUUAAAGCCGUCAGACAGUCACAGUGUCUCUAGCUGUGUAGGCAGCUGUCUUACUCCUCUGACAUGCCAUGUCUUUUGAAGAAGAGGACUGGUAUUAAAAUAAGAGCAAACCUCCCCAUUAGGUAUGUGCACAUAGCAAUUAGGGGACCAUAAAUAGAUCAGUGUGCUUUGAGAUUGAGGUCUCCAAAGUAUUCUGCACAAGUUACUGGUAUUUUGUGAAAUGUUUGGUAACCAUUUCACAUAGCUGUGAAAAAGUUGUAAGGUUGCUUAUUUACAGUGGCUGUAGUAUAUUAAAAGACAGAGCAUACCACAGAAUCAUAGAAUCGUUUGAGCUAGAAUGGACCCUUAAAGGCCAUCUGCUCCAGCUCUCCUGCAAUGAACAGGGACACCAACAGCUCGCUGAGGUGCUCAGAGCCCAUCCAGCCUGACCUUCAAUAUCUCCAGGGAUGGGGCACCACCACCUCUCUGGACAACCUUUGCCAGUGUUUCACUGUAUUUAUAUAAUUCACUGUAGUAGAAUUUCUCCAUCAAGAAAUACAAUUUGCCCAGGACUAAGUUUUACUGUAAUAGAUAUGUAAGAAAGUAAUAGAAGAGACUCAUAAAGCUUCCUUACUAAGAUGUGCAAGGGCAACCUCUGAGAAGACAUUGUAGACAACACCGUGAGGUCUGCACAAACACAAGUCCACAUACACAGAAAUCCAUGCACAUGCCAGAUGUUUGUUUUAUUACUAGUUUUGGCAGAAAAAAAACAAGGACUUCUUGAUAAAUGUCUCUUCCCUGGAGCUAUUUUGAGGUGUUGGCCUUCCGUUGGUUUCAGAACUAAUCCUGUAUCAGUACUUUAAUAGAAACACACUGAGCAUCAUAUUCAAAGUCACUGAUUUUUGGUGUGGAUCCCAUAGCAAAAUUUUCUAAGGGAUAAAAAAACAAUGGAGUUUUGUGGUCUGCAUGUGCUUUUGUUUACAAACCCGUAUUUCCAGGCUUAAUGGAAAUCAAGAAACGUGGAAUCAUAGAAUAUCCCAAGUUGGAAGGGACCCAUAAGCAUCAUCCAGUUCAACUCCUGGCUCCAUGCAGGACCACCCAAAAAUCAGACCAUAUGUCUGAGAUCACUGUCCAGACGUUCUUGAACUCCAGCAGCACAGUGCCAUUACCAUGCCCUGAGGGGGCUGUUCCAGUGCCCAAACAUCAGUGAAGAACCUUUUCCCGAUAUCCCACCUGAGCUGGACAAAAAUCAAGUUUGUUUAAAAACCUGGUCCCAAGUGGGUGUGCUGCUUUGGGAUAAAAUUAUUUUAAAAAGAAUAAUAAAAUUACAUCUAAUAACUAAUCUGAUAAAUUGCGUUACCAACUUUGAAAACAUCUCUAGCGCUGAGGGUUUAAAUGUAGGCAUGCAGCCAUGUGAGGAAAGCUCAAGCCAGCAGCACCUGCCUGCUCAGCCAUCCUGUAGAUAAGUAGUGACCAUCCUUCCCCACACCUUUCUCACUCCUGUCUUUCAUCUGGGAGGAAGCCUGGGCUGUCAUUUCCUAUCCUGUUAUAUGCCUUCUCACCCAGCAUGGCCUGUGGGCAGUGCUGCGUCCUGGAUGCCAAGAACUAAAAACACCCUGAGAGAAAAGAGUAAGUGAAAUUGGGAGAGCAGAGAGGUUGGCAUGAAGGGGAAAGCUUGGUUCAGCAGUUAAGGUUAAUUAUUAGGGUCAUCACAGGAGAUCUCUGAGCCGUGAGAGUUACUUGUUAAAUGAAUACAGAAUAUUUGCUUCUUUCAUAAGAUGAGGCUGAGGCCUUUUCACUCUGGAGAUCGGAAAGAAGCACGCCUUGACCUUAACUGACAGCAUCUGCUUCUGUUUUGACUGUAUUGAUGAAUAAGACAACAGCAGCGUGGUGGUGUGUAGAGCCCCGGGGAAUAUUUAUAAGGCACAUUAGUAUGGCAACGCAACGUAAAACAGCUAUUGACAAGCAUGAAGUUCAGAAGCUGUGAUUUUGCCCCUAGCCAUGGCUGCUCCCCCUGCCUUGAAAACCCUUGUCAAGACUGAUCUUGGCGACACGAGGAGGCAAGAACAAAGUGCCAAAUCCAUGAAAUGAACCCGGCGAUGUGGGGAAGGACAGAAAAGGGCUUUGAUAAUCUUAAUGCUAAUUCAUUGGGAAUGUACGCAGCAGGGAAGAGAUGUUUUCUGUAAAGAUCCCUUCUCAUGGGACAGUUUAGGAAGGAGGUCUGGAUUUUUGGCUAUCCAUCACUUGUGGGAAAUUCCUGCAGAAUGUAACAGGGCGUUGCUUGUUUUCUAUGUUUCUACUCUUACAGUUUUUAAUAAGUGCUUGUCUGGCAUACGCUGCAGUUUAAUUCUUGCGUGGAAUGUUAUAGGAUUCUUCAAAAAGUCUGAUAGUAAGGAUUUCUUUAUAAAAGUGCUAGUUAGCAUAAUUUCUAUGGAAACCUAAUUAUACAUUGGUAGACUUUCAAUAGGAGACUAUUAGACCUUUAGUCAAAACAAAAGCAUUAUCAUUGGUCCUUUUAUUUAGGAAUCUUUCAACAGAUUUACUAUAUCCUACUUAAAAAUGGUCUAGGGCACAAAACUCAAGCAAACAAGUGAAGUAGAUUUUGUUUCUAGGGUUGAAUAUCACCAUUCUCUUCUUAAAGAGGGGUCAACACUCAAUUUUUCCAUUCCUCAGUUUCUUUGUCUGUAAAAUAAAGAUGAUACUUAACCUCAGCUCAGUGAUAAUACUUAACCUGAGUGGUGUUUAAUUAUUUCUCUGGUGCUCCAGAUAAAAUUUUAUUUUGCUAAAGUAGAAACUUGCAAUUGUGAAACUCCACAGUAUAUUAUAGCAAAUCGUUAUUUGUGACUCACAGGCUCUGCAAGCUAGCAAGUAAGCACAUAUGCCUUAAAAGACUCCCUCUACACUGCAGAAUGGAGGGCGUCAAUAGUUUUGGCAAGCACAACUGACUAUUAAUUGUUUAAGAUAAUCCUCUAAUGGCUCUUUGUCCAUUUUCUCCAGUUUUUUUUCUUUUUUUUGUUGUUUGUUUUUUGUUUGUUUGUUUUGUUUUGUUUUUGUUUUUGUUGUUUUGCUUUGUUUUUCAAAGAAAGAACAUCCUCCAAUACAGAGAACAAGCUUGAGGGUAAGGCACUUAGAUUUUAUUUUCACAAGUUCCUUGACCCUGGCUAGAUCACUCAAUAUUUUCAUUUUCUUCCUAUAUGAAAUACUUCAUUGUGGUCUUCUAUGCAUACUGAUGCUCUUUACAUAUUACAAAAAUAUUAACUCCAAAGCAAAUGGAACCAGUACUGUCCUUCACCUUACAUUUGAAGUUUUACUUGUAUUUUUUACUUCCCAGAUUUAAGUACCAAAUGCAUUUCUGAAUGAAGCAAUGUGACUAGUACCCAACCACAGAGUUUGUUGUGAUUGUUCGUAGCAUGUUUUUACAUUAACAUACUGAAAAGUAAAUUGAAAUUCAUUACUCUGGAUAAUUUUGUCAUUUUGUGAUCUCACUUCUUUAUUUUCACCUUUCUUCCUUCUGUGCUUAUUUAAUCUCUUUCUCCAUCUAGACAGUAUAUGUUUUAUCCAAAAUACUUGUGUGGUCAGCAUAUACAUUAAAGGAACUUUGACUCUAGAUUUGUCUUCCCAGCAGCUACCAUAAGCACAGAGAAUAAAAAAUAACACUAAAUAAAAAUUAGAUUUGAAGAAGUUUGCCAGAAUGAGAUGACUUUUACAAUUUUAUAUCAGAAUAUUUUGCUAAUAGUGCAAGUAGAAUAGCAGGACAGAAAUGUAAAUUAAAUUUACCAAAUUAUAGGUUCUCAUAUAAACCCUCUUGCAUUCUAGGAAACAAACGGUAUAAUAAUAAAAAGUACAAAUCUUUUACUAUAUGUGCACAUCUCAUGUAUGAGCUAUAGCUGCUUGAUAGUAUAAUACAAUUUUUCUAAGAAUUUCUCCAUCUACUCUAGAAAAACACUGUUGCAUAUGGCUGUCUAUCACUUAGCGCACACCCUCUCUGCACAGUUGCUUCAUUAAUCCUGUAGAAGAUAACAGGCAACCUGGUCUCUCCACUUGUCUGAAAUUCAGUUUGGGAGGAGUCAGGUCUGGUUUUACUCUGAAUUCAAAUACUGCCUGUGACUCACUUAUGUUCAUGUCCUUUUUGAAUCAAAUUCCUAUUGUCUUUAGUAGGAAGUGGUAAGGCCACAAGUGAGGAAGGAUUAACAUAGGAUUUGUCAGAGAUUAGUAAUAGAUCAGUCCAUGUUGGCCAGUGGUUUCAAAAGGUUUAAGUUAGAAAGAAUGUAGGAGGAUGGUGGAGAGUGACACUGAUAACAUGGGCAGCAUGCUGUCUGAGCAUAUCAACAGUAGUAGACAGUGUAAUCUCAUUUGCUGCAUUAGCUAGCAUAGAGAAAGUUGCUGAGAGAUAGCACUGAGAAGAGGAACAAGAGAAAAUAAAAUAAAAUAGAAGGUGCCACAAAUCGAUUCCACCAAAGUUACAACAAUAUUUGGGUGCCCACACAGGAGCCCCACAGGGACAUAGAAACACAUACAUACACAUUGUCCCCAGAAUUGUUCUCAGCCCAAUAUGGGUUAAGAGAUUAAAAGGAUCGGGUGGAUAAAGACUGUCUCAAACUCUAACAAGUACUGAGUGUAAACAGAAAACAUCCUUCUCGUAGACUUCACCAAGCCAAAGGCAUAUUUUGGUACACGGUGAUGCUUAGCUAAGAGAGCAAGAAGAAUACACUGUUGACAUCUACUUUGUCACAAGGAUGACAGCAUUUCCCUGAGAUAAUUCCUUUCUGAACUGCAACAUGUUUUGUGUUUUUGUGGUGAGGAAUGUGUCACCUAACACUUCAGAAAUGGCCAUUGCUGGUUACUCCACCGGAACUUUAAUCGAGACCUUCAUUAUUCUUAUGAGUCUGAGUUAAAAUAAUUUCAGCCUGGAUUUAUCUCCCACUUUCAGCCAUUAAAUUUUCCUGUCUAUUCUGUUGAUAAUUUGUCUGCUAGCAGAUGUAUUUCACUCCACAACAUGGGCAUUUCUUUGUGAUACAAGUUAACCUUGUAAUGAAGGAAUGGACCUUUGAAGUUGGUAUGGAAACAGGAACUGCUUAUCAAGAACUAUUUUGCUGUGUGGUUUUGACUUUGCUAUUGGAAGAAAUUUGUUGAUUUAACUUGAUCUGAGAAAUACACCAGAGAAUAGCCUUCUUUAGCCUGUUGUGUGCAGGUUCUUCAGCAAUUCAGAUGGCCAUACUUACUCCUCCGUGAAAGUGUCAGUGGUUUUGAAGGUCCAGAUUCUUCCAAAAUAACUUGUAAUUGAGUUUCCACAUCUUGUGUUCAUUUUGGCUGUGUCUUCCAGAAUAUCUAGCUAAAAAACAUGUUUUAUACAUGGUGCAAGUUUGAGCCCAAAUGUCCACAGCGUAGGUCAAGAGCAUAGUGCUCAAAAUGUGGUUGUGGAAGAUUUGGGAGAAGUAAUUUCUUUCACAGUGGUCAAAACAUGAAACUCAUUUUUCCUUCCUCACUCAACUUCUUUCAGCGCGUUAGUUUUUAUUUAAGUGCAUCCAGUCCACUAAACUGCCUUGGGAAUCUUUGAUACAAAUACACCAGAGUCAGUCCUCUCCCUCUUUUCCUAGUUCUGUAGAUGGUGGAAGCUUGGGGACUGCCCAAAUGAAAAUAAAUAGAUUGAUUUAGUGCAUUUGGACACCUAGAAGAAGUUGCCUUUCCUAGAGGUGGUUUACAUUUGCAUUUGUUUUUCUCCUCAGAGCUAUAAAACAUGUUUGACAGACUUUAUAUGAAGCCCUUAGAAAUUGUUUGCUUUGGCUAUUACGAUCCUUAAUCCUUCUCACAUCAGGACUCUGUGUAUUCCUUACUAGAGGGUAUGUGUUCAAGUUUUUUUGUAUUCUGUGAGGAUAAUGCAAUCUGACAAGUACGUAGGGAGAUGAUAAAUCUAGACUUGAGGUCUUUUUCAUGGUAGGUGAAGAAUGAGCUAGAACUGUUUUCAUUGAAGGAUUAAAUCCCAGUGGUAAUUUUUUUUAAGCAUCACAGAGUUUUAGUCAUGUGGUUGCCAUGAAAAACAGUACAAAAGAUUCAUGUGCCUAAUAACUCCUACAGAGCAGUUCUUCAGAAAGGUACCUGUGGUGCAGUGCUUUACAGGUAUGGGUUUACGUUAUCUGAUAUGGUCCAGAGUCUGCAUUUCCUAUAAUUGCAUCAAAUUUCAGGGCUUAAGAGGAAUUCAAAGCAUCCAAAAGCACACAAGUGAGGUCUUAGGGUAAGUACUAACAAAAAGGGUAUUAUCAAAGUUUAGUUCUCUCAUGUGCUUGAAAUCAGCUUUUUGUGGGCUUGAUCCUUGUAGGAAGGCUGCCUUGAAGCUUCAGUAUAUCACUUAUUGAUUACAGCAACAUCUUCCCUGGAAUAUUGUCUAUCUUUAUUUUCCACCCUCUCAAAAAAUCCUGCUACAAAAAUUUCUUUACUGUUUUAUGUCUGUAAAACACUUCCCUCUUGUUCUCCAUUUUAUCUCUUUUAUCUCUUUUAAUAGCCCCCUUUACAUCACCUGAAGUUCAAACCUCUUGUGGUGUUCAAUGCCUCUGCCCACAUCCUUCACAUACCUCAAGUAUCUGUCCCUCACCAACCUCUCCUUGAAGGCCCACUUCUCAUUAUGCCCGUAAGGAGUGGAUUGGGAUCAGCCACAGAGAUGGCAAAUAGCACCUGCUGGUAUUUCUUGGAGUUGAAAUGUCUGACACGCAGAGAUAUAGCGUAGAUAAACCAUCUGCUUUUGUGAUUGUGACCUUCCUCACAAAGCUCCCUUUUGUUAUCUGCUUGAAGGAGGUGUGUUUUUAUUUUCCCUAUGCAAAAUGCACAGCUACAUCUCUGCUGAAGACUGUGAAACUGAGCUGCAGAAUUCUUUACAUUUUUCUAUCCUGGGAGAAAAACACUUUUUCACCCUAUCAGAGAGCCUUCCUGUUAAAAUCUGAAGCUGAAGCAUUUCAGUGUUGAGCCUUAGCUGGUUUUUCUGGUUGCGCCACCAAAUGAACAACUUAAUUUAUACAUAUAUUCACAUUUUAUUAGCUUCAAAAGCCACUGAUUCUUCCUCUUACAUUUUGUUUCUAUGUGCCAUAUCCCUUAGACCACACCGUGCUUGCAAUGUUCACAUCCCAGGUAGAGCUCCCAUUGAUCUCAAUGGGAGUUCAGUGUGGGAUUCCAGUGCAGGAGGCACAGGAGGAGAGAUAAGAGGACGCCUGAUAAGAGUUCACACAUCUGAUAAGAGUUCUGCAGCAUAGACAGGAGAGCUGCAUUUUCACCUUAAUUAUCAGUCACCUUCUUUUGUAGUUCAGUGCAGGAUGUUCCAUUUUAACAGAACAUCAACUGAUGCACUAGGGAACUGCCUGAAGUCCCAUAGAAAAUGGCACUGAUACCAUCUUUAAAAUAUGCAUCUCCAUUCCUUGUGAAUUUUGAAUAAAGCACUGUGCAUCCCGAGCAGACUUGGCAAGCAAGGAGGUAUUGAAAACCCAAUGAUCAAACACAGACCUCAAUGAUAAUCUCCAGGAAACUUGUUCAGUACUCAGCAACAAACCAAGGAGAGUCUUUGGAAUGGAUUUACUUUUUUAGUACGUGCCUUAAAAAUAAAUUCCAGUAUUUCAGCUUGCGUGACAGAAACAUGGAGGAUUUUUGGAAAGGCAGUGGUGAUAACAAUAGGCUUAUUAAUACUGAAAACCGAGCUAUAUAAUUAUAAUGAAACCGUUGAGUCUCAUUUCUUUUAUAUAGAUGGCAGUAUGCAAAUAGGGAGCCAUCCGCCUUGAUAACUGCAGAAGCUAUGAAAUCCUUAUUUGAAGAAUUUCAAUCUGGUUUUCCUAUAGCAUUCAGUACUCAAAGUUAAAAAAGAAGCUCCCUCCUCCUCCCCUUUUCUUUCUCAAUAUAACAAUGCAUUUAAAACUGCUCCAAAAUUGCAAACCUAUUUCACAGUUUCAUAGAGAGGAAAUGGCUUGAGGGAACUAUUUGCUUUUUUAUGCCUGGAACAUCAAAAUAAAGUACCGAAUGGGAAAAUGAAUUCUGUUGUAUAAAGGGUGGGUGCAGUACAGAAAGGGGUUUGAGGCAGAGGGCAAGUUGGUAGGGGUGACUGAGAGGGGUUUGUAGAGCCUAGCAAGGUUUGCUUAGAUACUUCAAGCUUGCCCAAGCAUUGAAGGAGGAUUUGCCCAUGGCUCUCAGCCCUCUGUUCUAGGAACAUAUACUCCGUAGUUCUCAUCACAAGAAGGCAAGGUAUGUGGGUUGUUAUAGAUCUCAGCUGCAUGUAAUUCAGGAGGUUUAGGUGGUCCCUCUGUCUGCUAUUGAAAAAUAGGAGGUGCUGGAUAAUCCCAUUCAGUUCCUUAUGUCUUUGUUACCCCUCCAGAGAAGUGGUGGAGUCACCAACCCUGCAGGUGUUCAAGAGAUGUGGUAUUUAGGGACAUGAAAAUUGAAAUUAAGGUUAUACUUAGAUUUCUCAAGAAUUGGAACUUCCUCAGGAAAGGGAACAUUAAGUUCAAAUAGAAAUUAAUUUCAGAAUUAAUGAAAAGUCUGAUAAAGCAUUCAUUGGUGACCUGUUAAUUUUGCAUUACUCAGUGGGAAGGCUCAGGGCUUGGCUGUAUCUUUGGCCUCUACUUCUACAUAUUGACGAGGUUCAGGUUUUAACUGAAAUCUAGGCUGUUCUUAUGCUCUCUGUUUAGCCAGAGGCUUCAGAGAAAUUUGAACACCAAUCUACUGCAGAACACAGGGCGCUUAGUUUAAUGCUGUGAGUUUGAGUCUCAACUUGUAGAGCAACCUUGAGCAAAGUACCUUGCCUCUUUACUCUUGCAGAUUGCAGAAAUGCCCUCCUGCCUCUGAGCACAGGGAAUUGUAGUCAAUGACAAUACAUGAUGUUGAGUACUGAGAAUACUCUUUCCUUGGCCAGCUGGAGAGAGUGGGUUGAAAGGUUCUUGGAGUCAUCUCGCAGUCCUCGCCUCUUGAUAGCUAAAGGACAUUCUGAUCAAAACAAACUGUUCCCCCUAACGUGUAGUACAUCUUACCCAAGGAUUGUUUUGCUACUUUUCCAAACAUCUUGAAAUGCCUCUCCCUGUGGUUAUAACUUACCUUAAGGACUAAAACUGAUCUCCUGAUCUACUCACAGUUCUUUGGGAAUGCAGGAAAAAAUACAAGAGCUGAAAUUUGAAUGGUCACUCACAUGAAAGGGAAUUGGUUUUGUACAUCCACUUAAGUAGCUCAAAAAAGAUGUGACAGAGGUUUUUUCCAUGUAACUCCUCAUAGAGUAUGAAAAGAAAAUACAUUUGUGUAUGGUGCAAAUUUAGAGGUGUCCACAGGGCUUAUUUUUCCUUUGAGCAUGGCCUACAUAAGGAGAAAUUUUCUAGUGUAGACGUCCCUACAAACUUGUUUUACGAAGACAUAUGUUUAUACUGGCAGGUGGUUUUGACCAUUCAGUUUAGCUCCCUGAGUGCUGCUUUUUAGGCUAGCAACAAAAGCCAUUUGAGGUGUUGAAGCUACAUCACUGCAGCAGGUCUUGGUGGUAUAGAUUUAUAACAUAAAAUCACUCCCUGCUUAUGUAUAUAUAAAUACAUAUCUCUGUCUAUGUAUAUUUCUGUACAGAUACAACAGCUGUAGGUAGAGCAUUAUAUACGAUGUAUAUUUGUAAAUGCAGCAUUUUAUAUGUGUGAAUAUAUGUUUCUAUAGAUCUAUGCCAACAUAUGAUAGAGAAGGGCAUACAAAGUGUUCAUGCCUUCCUCUGCUAUCAGAACUCCUCACUCAAUAUCUUUGUUUUAUUUAAAGUCCAGUUAGGAGGAAAGUGGCUUUUUCACUCCUACAUCCAGAAAUGUCCUUCAGAUGUGCCUGAAUUCAGGCCACCGCAUCUUCAAAAGCACCAGGCAGUAGCACAAUGUUCCAGAACAGAAUGUUUGUCACAGUUUGAUUCCCCUAAAAGAGAAAGACUGUUUCACACCACGUAGCUCUAGAAGAAAAAGAACACAUGAAAACACAAAUUGUAUUUUUUUUCCAUUCAGCAAUUGACGUCCUGCUUAAAGCAAUAAAAUUUUCUACAUGAACAAACACAUCUUAAUCACUACACCAAAUAAUACAUUUAAAUUAAGCAGAUAUUGUUUAAAAGAAUAACUUCACACAGGUGUAAUGUGUGUCAUAAUCUUCAUGUGAAAUUUUUGGCGUAGAGUUGGACAGCAAAACAAAAAGCUUAAAGUCCGUCAAACUUUUUAUUUAUUUUUCCCCUCGGUGAGCUCUGGAUCUCAUAAGCCUGCCCAAAUUAGACUUUAUGACUUCUUCUAUUAAUGCCUUAUUGAGAAACCUCUCUUCAGAAACCCUGACUUGAGUUACCAGUUCCCAAACCCAAACACAUCCGUGGCUGAAAAGAUGAAGUAUAUACAAUAACUAAUAUAAAUAUUGCUCUGCUCUGAAUUCUGCAGGGGAAAGUUUAUUUUCCUAGUUCUGGAGCAGUAACUGAUGGGUUGAACCCAAAUAGUAAAGUUUGAAUAGUUGUUGAAGCUGAAUAUUUGAACAGUUGUUGCAGAGAUGCUGCCGAGGGCUGCAUUUUAGGUCAGGGAAUUUCUGAGUAUGUAAGAGAAAAGAUGGGAAGAAAAACAUAUAAGAGGAAACAGGGAAAUUUCAAAAGGGAGGAGAUCAAGGAAGAAAGUGGUUAUGUUUCAGAACUAUGGUGUCUGAGUUGAUUGGAAGUAAGGGAAUUGCCAAGAUAUAACUCAUACAUGUUUUGCUCCAGAUGAAAUUGGAAAAUGGAAAUAUAAAGGCUUGCACUGCAGCACAUAUCCUGCCUCCACAUCAGUGAUAAAAAUCUGAUCUUGAAAUCUACUAUCACAUGGUAAAGGGGGUCAGUGUUGAUUUCUGCAUUAAAGGUGAAAGAAAUGUUUUUCAGUUUGGUAUCAAUUCAAACAGGAUAGAGUAAAAUAAAGGAAAACUUAGAAUCACUGAAUCAUGUAAGUUGGAAAAGACCAUUAAGAUCAUCUAGCCCAACCAUCAGCCCAUCAACUUCAAGCCAAUUGCAGCUCUACACUAGCUGCCCACAGAUCAUAACCCCCUAGCAGACAGUUUUCAGGAUUUUUGCCCUCAUGUGCUGGCAUCCAUAUGCAGCUCUUCUGAACUGCCUUCAGAUGCUUGAGUUUAUCUGUGACCUAAAAGUGAGCUAUUUUACAAGCAUAUUUUCUCUGGUUUAUGAAGAACAUAACUAUUAUUUAUAAUUUCAUGGUCUAGUUCAGAACUGAAACUGGCUAGAGACAUUUUCCUAUAUCCAUGAGAUUCCUUUAGUGAGACUUGGUUUAGAAAUAGCAAACUAUUUCACUGAAAGUCAUUGCAUAUUCAACAUGCCGAAUGAAUUAUAAGAAAAAAAAAAGUCAGUGUUAGUACAUGACUUAGGUUAAAGAAACCAAAGAAGAGAAGAAAUAGGUCCGUAUUUCUCUUGGAUUUCAGUAUUUUUAGUGUAAAUUUUGGCAAUGCUUUCAUCCCUUUUCUCUGUUCCUUCCCUCUGCAUCCCCCUAAAGAAAACACAUCUCCUUAUGGAGAGAUGUAUCAAAUUUACAAGAUAAACCAGAGCCAAAUUACCUGCUAGGUCUAGCUGGGGCAAUGCUAUUGAAAACCAGAUAUCAUCAGGACUUUCAAGUCUGUAUACAAAAUACACACACUAAGACAGAUGAGGAUUACAGUGCAAACUAAGAAUCACAUGUAGGAGACAUCUUUCACCAAGGCAGGAAAGGAGUCAAAAGCCAAGUUUUUAUCAGUUCUUGUGUUUCUUAAAUGAAGUAGUUUUGCUGGCUCGUGUUCCUACACCAGUUAGACCUUCCCUUUGUACAUGGCCCAGGUGAGGCCAGAACUUGGGUAUUGUGUUCAGCUUUGGGCCCCUCACUACAAGAAAUGCACUGAGGCCCUGCAGUGAACAAAGCUUUGAAGGGUCUGGAGCACAAGUCUUAUGGGGAGCAGCUGAGGGAACUCGGAUUGUUCAGUCUGAAAAAGAGGAGAUUCAGAGAAGACCUUAUUUCCCUCUCCAGCUCCCUGAAAGGAGAUUGUGGUGAAGUGGGUGUUGAUGUCUUUAUCCAGGUAGCAGUGAUAGGAUGAGAGGCAAUGGCCUUAAGUUGCGUCAGCUGAGGUUCAGGUUGGAUAUUAGGAAACAUUUCUUCUCCAGAAGAGUGGUGAGACAGUGGCAUAGGCUGCCCAGGGAGGUGGUGGAGUCACUGUUCCUGGAGGUGUUCAAGAACUGUGGGUAUGUGGAACUGAGGGACAUGGUCAGUGGGCAUGGUGGGGGUUAGGGUUGGAGUUGGGGAUCUUAGUGGUCUUAAGAUUCACCAUUACGAUUCUAUGAUUUUAUGAUUACUCCAGUCUAGCAAGGUGCAGCACAGGAUUACCCAGCUGUAUUUUGCUUUUUUCAGCCUGCUCUGGCUGUACUUCAUCCCCACUUAAGUCUCUGCAUCUGUAGAGGAGCAGCCCACAGUCUGUAUUUAUGUCUGUAGCACUGCCUCACAGACUGUCUCAUCUCACGGAGGUGAACAUCAUCCUCCACAAGUGGAUGUAACUGUAAUCCACACAUGAAUGUAGCACUGCUUGCUCAGAGCAGGUACAUGCAGAUAGGUUCAUUAUAUGUGUUAAUUACACUGGUUCCUGCUGCUAGCCCUGCCACUUCACAGUGUCAAAUGUAAAGAAGCAGCAGUGCCAGUAGCCCAGGUAACACUUGUGAAAUCCCUUCUUAACGGGAUCUCUGAGCACUCAGACCUAGCAAAACCAAGAACCAUUCUUGUAUCUCUGACAGCAGCCACAUGUCAGCACUUAGAGAAGUGGUCAAGAGCAGGGCACCAAUGUCAAGGUACUUCCUACAAUACUCCAGCACAGUCAGAUAUAAAUUCUUCAGGGUAGAGGCAAUAUCUUACAAUAUACUUCCACAACAGCAUCCUGGUAAUUUUCAGAGCUCAUAUCAUAUAAAAGAAGGAUAAUUAAUGGCUGGUGACUGGUGUCUGAAAUUGGGAUCAUAGCUACAUGUCUGCUGCUAGAGCUUUCAAACGGGAUGAGACAGUUAUUUCCAUGAUAGGACAGCUUACUUUUCCAUCCCUAUCAUGAGGAUUAACGCACACGCUGCUAGCAAGGACCCACUGAGGGUCUAGAAGUGUUACAGAUGAUAAGUGUGUAACAGGAAAGUCAAUUAUCAGCUAGUAGAUCCUGGUGUUACCUUCCAAGGCACAGAAUUAUAGCCUGCCACUUGCCUUUUGCAGGUCAUCUUUCACAGUGUUGCAGACCCACAUUAAAAUGACUUGUGACUAACGACAGAGCGGGGCUUAGUGCCUCUUUAUCACUCUGCAGUGAAAGGAAGGUCUUCACUUUAAUAUUGUAGAGAAAGCCUCGCAAUUGAGACUUCAGACCAGCUACAGAAGAUUUGCAUGGCUAAAAAGAAUUGCUUGGUUUAUGUUUUGACACAAUUCAGCACACUGCUUGCAUUAUUCAAACAGCCUGACAAAAUCUACGUUUUAUUUCUUUUUUUUUUUUUUUAAUUUUACACUCACUGCAGUAAAUGUUUGCUUUGGUCCAUUACCUGCUUGGACUAGUCCUUGCAGUGUAAAUUCUGUACUAAAUCAUUCAGAAAAAGCAGGGGGGUUUAUGAUGUAUUUUAAAAAGUAGGUCAGUGGUGCAGCUUCUGUAGGAUAUGCAUUUAAGGAAAAGAAAAUAAAAAAUAAAUAGAAUGGCAAGAAAAGGAAAACUGAGAAAUACACACUUGAGGGGUACCUCUCCUGGAAAGAGAUGAGUUGUCUGUGACCUCUACAACUGUUUAUAUACUGGUUAAGGAAAAAAAAACCCUAAAGGACAAAUAGCAAGAAGCUCUCAUCCUCACUGCUUCCCCCUCUACAGCUGAUUUCAUAGAAUCAUGGAAUCAUAGAAUCAUAGAAUCAUAGAAUCGCUAAGGUUGGAAAAGACCCACAGGAUCAUCCAGUCCAACCAUUCGCCCUUCACCAAUGGUUCCCGCUAAACCAUGUCCCUCAACACAACUUCCAAACGCUCUUUGAACACCACCAGGCUCGGUGACUCCACCACCUCUCUGGGCAGCCCAUUCCAGUGCCUGACCACCCUUUCAGAGAAGUAGUACUUCCUAACGUCCAGCCUGAACCUUCCCUGGAGCAGCUUGAAGCCAUUCCCUCUAGUCCUAUCACUAGUCACCCG
rnacentral:lncRNA from 1 species